rnacentral:rRNA from 1 species
UACGUAGGGUGCAAGCGUUUGUCCGGAAUUAUUGGGCGUAAAGAGCGUGUAGGCGGCCAGACAGGUCAGCUGUGAAAACUCGAGGCUCAACCUCGAGACGUCGGUUGAAACCGUCUGGCUAGAGUCCGGAAGAGGAGAGUGGAAUUCCCGGUGUAGCGGUGAAAUGCGCAGAUAUCGGGAAGAACACCCGUGGCGAAGGCGGCUCUCUGGGACGGUACUGACGCUGAGACGGCGAAAGCGUGGGGAGCGAACAGG